rnacentral:rRNA from 1 species
GACGAACGCUGGCGGCGUGCUUAACACAUGCAAGUCGAACGGAAAGGCCCUGCUUUUGUGGGUUGCUCGUUUGGCGAACGGGUGAGUAACACGUGAGUAACCCGCCCUUGACUUUGUGAGAACUUCAGGAAACUGGGGCUAAUACCGGAUAGGAGCUCCUGCUGCAUGGUGGGGGUUGGAAAGUUUCGGCGGUUGGGGAUGGACUCGCGGCUUAUCAGCUUGUUGGUGGGGUAGUGGCUUACCAAGGGUUUGACGGGUAGCCGGCCUGAGAGGGUGACCGGGCACAUGGGGACUAAGAGAGGGAGCAGACUGGUACGGUCGGCAGUGGGGGGAAACAUUGCGGAAUGGGGGGGAGCGUGAUGCAGAAGCGCCGCGUGCGGGAUGACGUCCUUCGGGUUAUGAACAGCUGUGGACUGAGACAAAGCGGGAGUGACGGUAACGGGUAAGAAAGCACCGGCUAACUACGUG